UAACCGAGAUCCGGUUAAACGAAAAGGACGUAAAAAAUUGUCCGUGUGAUAUAACCAGUCUAUUUAAUUUUAUUUUGUAGGAGUGUUUAAAAAUACGUAGAUCUGAAAUACAGAAUGGCAUCCAGAAUAUUAUCAAAGCGCCCAUUUUCCUUGGGUUUUACGAUUUUAAGAUGUCAGUCCACAAUGUCGGCCUUCGAAUUGCAACACAAAACACCACUCAUUAAGAAAACUACUCCGAUCCCUAUCGCUCUAUAUGGAGGUCGAAAUGCAGUUACAAUGUUACCCGGUGGUGGUAUAGGCCCAGAACUCAUGGGCUACGUCAGGGAAGUGUUUAAGUAUGCAGGGGCUCCUGUUGACUUUGAAUUAAUUGAUAUUGACCCCAAAGCGGAUGAUAAUGUCGAUCUAGAAUAUGCUAUUACAUCGAUAAAACGUAAUGGUGUAGCUAUUAAAGGUAACAUUGAAACUAAAAGUGAGAGUGCGGCAGUGCUAUCUAGAAACGUGGCCAUCAGGAAUGAACUUGAUUUGUAUGUAAAUAUUUUGCACUGCAAGUCUUAUCCCGGAGUACCUGCUAGACAAAGCAAUAUUGAUAUAGUUAUCAUAAGGCAAAAUACAGAGGGGGAAUAUGCUAUGUUGGAACAUGAAAGUGUUGAUGGUGUAAUAGAAAGUAUGAAAGUUGUGACAGAAUCAAAUUCUGAUCGAGUGGCAAGAUUUGCAUUUGACUAUGCAAAACGUACCGGAAGGAAACGUAUUACAACUAUACAUAAGGCAAAUAUAAUGAAACUUUCCGACGGUCUUUUCUUGGAAACGUCAAGAAGGAUAGCUGAAGAUUACCCCGAAAUAGAACAUAAUGAUAUGAUUAUUGAUAACUGUUGCAUGCAGCUCGUGUCAAAACCCCACCAAUUUGACGUCAUGAUUAUGACGAAUCUGUACGGCAGUAUUGUGUCAAAUGUCGUCUGUGGUCUGAUAGGUGGUGCUGGAUUGCUUUCAGGCAAAAACUAUGGAGAUCAUUAUGCCAUAUUUGAACCCGGUACUCGCAAUACUGGAACUGCUAUCGCUGGGAAAAAUAUUGCGAAUCCAAUUGCGAUGUUGAACGCAGGAGUGGACAUGCUGGAGCAUUUGGGGCAUCAAAAACAUGCUACCUUGAUCCGAUGGGCUAUUGAGAAAACUCUUUGCGAAGAUAAAAUACAUACUCCAGAUUUGGGAGGUACGGCAAAGAGUACAGAUGUCGUGCAAAGAAUUAUCGAUCACAUCUUGCAAGCUGAUACAAGGCCAUGGUAAUAUUCAGUUGAUGUAGUGGUGGUGGUGGUUUUUUUUAAAUCUAAUUCUCUAAUGUGUGUCCGAAUGCUGUCUGAUGUUUGUUCUGGAUCCUAAUUCAUAUUAACUGAGAGGCACACAGGAAAGUAUUAAAAAAGUGUCUUACGAAGCUGUAUUUAUUUAACUUAUUUUUCAAACUGUAAUUUAAUGUGAUUAAUAAAACAUGUUUUUAGAA